rnacentral:tRNA from 1 species
GGGGUUGUGGCUCAGUGGUAGAGUGCUCACCUAGCACGUGUGAGGCACUGGGUUUGAUUCUCAGAACCACA